GCGAGAGUGGCGGAACGGCAGACGCGCUAGGUUCAGGGUCUAGUGCCCGCAAGGGUGUGAGGGUUCAAAUCCCUCCUCUCGCACCA
rnacentral:tRNA from 1 species